rnacentral:lncRNA from 1 species
CCACACAUUUAGUGGGAAAAUGGAGGAAAAAUAACUGCUAUUCAAAUUUCGCAAUCUGGUUUCUCCCCACCAGGCGCUGCCAAAUCCGCUGAAACGACCUGGCCGCCAAACUUGGCUUCUCUUUGCCGAGCCAGUGAUGCAUGCUGGAGGGGUGGCGGUUCAGGGUCAUCUCAUGCCUCGUUCAGCCAGGCUGCUGCAGCCACUGGCCAACAACCACAGCUAUGACUGCCAUAAAAUGUCCUACAGCAGAAAAUGACCAUAAGCCUCGUUAUUACAGGCAGAGGAAUAAUCUUUUAUGAGGCCAGCAGAACAAAUCCCAGCGAUAACAGGAUUGGUGGGGAAACGACUGGUUUAAGGCUGCCUCAGCUCACUGCCAGCCAAAAAGCAAAUUGUAUAUUGCUGUAUAUGUUUACGUGCAUUGUUUUGUGGGCUAUAGAAAUAUACACUGGUAGCGUACACCUCACUAUCAUCAACAACAACAACGAUCGUAACAAUAAUAAUAUAUUUUAUGCAUGUGUCAUGCGCACCUUCUCAUGAUUAAAUUGUUCCUGUGUGUGCAUAUACAUCUUUAUGACUCAGUGGCUCUCUGGUUUCCAGUCCAUCCACUAAAUGAAGUGGAAACCCAAAAGAAAUGACGAUGGAAACCCAGCGACACAUGACCGAGUUUUACGACACGCUGAUAAAAUUUCAUAGCCCGCUCCCUCUCAUUGGAGGCUCGAGGAGAGACCCCGCAGACGCCGUUAUUGCUUUAUUUUAUUAUUUCGGAGGUGCAAACCUCCUCUGUUGUUCUCGCACCGACCACAGCCAUCUGCAUAUUUCUCCUCCGUGUUUGCUCGGUGCAUAUUAAACACGGCUCCUCAUUUCCUCCAUGAGGGAAAAUGUCAGCAACAACAUUUCCAUUACAGCAGAAUGAUGUUUUUUCAAAUUGUGCGUGAUAGAGAGCUGUAAUUGCUCGCUGCAGCAGUACCUUUAGGGAUUCAAUACUGUCAAUGGAGUGCAAUUUUGUGUCAUUUACUAUUAGUCCACUGAGCAUGUUCGUUUGAUUGUCAUCUGCAGUGAAACGCUAACUGGGCUGCAGGGUAUCCACCUGCUCUCAGCUGCCGUGGCUUUAAUCAUAGAUUUUGGUGUAGCCCCG